GACGAACGCUGGCGGCGUGCCUAAUACAUGCAAGUCGAGCGGACGGAUGGGAGCUUGCUCCCAGACCGUCAGCGGCGGACGGGUGAGUAACACGUGGGCAACCUGCCUGUAAGACUGGGAUAACUCCGGGAAACCGGGGCUAAUACCGGAUAACUCUUUCCCUCACAUGAGGGAAAGCUGAAAGAUGGCAUCUCGCUAUCACUUACAGAUGGGCCCGCGGCGCAUUAGCUAGUUGGUGAGGUAACGGCUCACCAAGGCGACGAUGCGUAGCCGACCUGAGAGGGUGACCGGCCACACUGGGACUAAGAAACGGCCCAGACUCCUACGGGAGGCAGCAGUAGGGAAUCUUCCGCAAUGGACGAAAGUCUGACGGAGCAACGCCGCGUGAGUGAUGAAGGUUUUCGGAUCGUAAAACUCUGUUGUCAGGGAAGAACAAGUACCGGAGUAACUGCCGGUACCUUGACGGUACCUGACCAGAAAGCCACGGCUAACUACGUG
rnacentral:rRNA from 1 species